rnacentral:rRNA from 1 species
GAUAAACGCUGGCGGCGUACAUAAGACAUGCAAGUCGAACGAGCAGAAGCUAAAAGAUUUAUCUCUUAGUGGAGCUAGUGGCGGAUGGGUGAGUAACACGUAAGCAACCUACCUAGCAGAGGGGAAUAACAGUGAGAAAUCAUUGCUAAUACCGCAUACCUUGUAGAGAAGGCAUCUUCAUUACAAGAAAAGNGUAAUCUGCUGUUAGAUGGGCUUGCGCCUGAUUAGCUAGUUGGUGAGAUAAAAGCUCACCAAGGCGACGAUCAGUAGCCGGACUGAGAGGUUGAACGGCCACAUUGGGACUGAGACACGGCCCAAACUCCUACGGGAGGCAGCAGUCGGGAAUAUUGCACAAUGGAGGGAACUCUGAUGCAGUGACGCCGCGUAUAGGAGAAGGUUUUCGGAUUGUAAACUAUGUCAUGUGGAAGAAAAUGACGGUACCACAAGAGGAAGCCCCGGGCUAAAUAUGUGCCAGCAGCC